rnacentral:rRNA from 1 species
UACAGAGGUCUCAAGCGUUGUUCGGAUUCAUUGGGCGUAAAGGGUGCGUAGGCUGCGCGGAAAGUGGGGUGUGAAAGCCCUCGGCUCAACCGAGGAAUGGCGCUCCAAACUACCGUGCUAGAGGAAGACAGAGGUAAGCGGAACUGAGGGUGGAGCGGUGAAAUUCGUAGAUAUCGGGAGGAACACCGGUGGCGAAGGCGGCGACCUGGGUCGAGACUGACGCUGAGGCGCGAAAGCGUGGGGAGCAAACAGG